rnacentral:rRNA from 1 species
AGUGAACGCUGGCGGUAGGCCUAACACAUGCAAGUCGAACGGCAGCACAGUAAGAGCUUGCUCUUACGGGUGGCGAGUGGCGGACGGGUGAGGAAUACAUCGGAAUCUACUUUUUCGUGGGGGAUAACGUAGGGAAACUUACGCUAAUACCGCAUACGACCUACGGGUGAAAGCAGGGGAUCUUCGGACCUUGCGCGAUUGAAUGAGCCGAUGUCGGAUUAGCUAGUUGGCGGGGUAAAGGCCCACCAAGGCGACGAUCCGUAGCUGGUCUGAGAGGAUGAUCAGCCACACUGGAACUGAGACACGGUCCAGACUCCUACGGGAGGCAGCAGUGGGGAAUAUUGGACAAUGGGCGCAAGCCUGAUCCAGCCAUACCGCGUGGGUGAAGAAGGCCUUCGGGUUGUAAAGCCCUUUUGUUAGGAAAGAAAAGCAGCAGGUUAAUACCCCGCUGUCCUGACGGUACCCAAAGAAUAAGCACCGGCUAACUUCGUG